rnacentral:rRNA from 1 species
UACGAAGGGGGCUAGCGUUGUUCGGAUUUACUGGGCGUAAAGCGCACGUAGGCGGAUUGUUAAGUCAGGGGUGAAAUCCUGGAGCUCAACUCCAGAACUGCCUUUGAUACUGGCAAUCUUGAGUCCGGAAGAGGUGAGUGGAACUCCUAGUGUAGAGGUGGAAUUCGUAGAUAUUAGGAAGAACACCAGUGGCGAAGGCGACUCACUGGUCCGGUACUGACGCUGAGGUGCGAAAGCGUGGGGAGCAAACAGG